GCUUCUCUCCAGUGUGUAUUAUUGUGUGCUUGAUGAGAUCUGCUUUCUCUCUGAAAUUCUUGCCACAGUCGGAGCAGCUGUGAGGCUUCUCCCCCGUGUGGAUCCGCAUGUGAGCGUUCAUGUUCCCGACCUGCGUAAAUCCUCUGCCGCAGUAACUGCACGUGUGCGGCUUCUGUCCAGAGUGCGAGUUCAUGUGUACGGCCUCUCUACUGUCUCCCCGGCUUUCAGGGGUUUCUUUACACCUGAGAGAGGGGGACUGCUGUCUCUCCACUCAUCAUCACUGUCUUCACUGGUCGGCUCUGUCGCACCACAGCGGCCUCUCUCGGGUUCUGCUCUCAGCUGUACAGAUGAGUUGCUGGGCAAAGGGUCUGCUCUAUUUUCAACCUCUUGGCUUCGACAAGGCGACUGUCUCCCAUCUUCAUCACUUCUCUGCACAUAGAUGAUAUUGAACAUUGACUCUUUGGUGUCAGCCUCCUCCUGCUUUUCACCUGCCUGAGCGGCCCACUGUUCAUCCUCCUGUUCAUCUUUAACCUGCAGGAGCUCCUCGUCAUCCUCGCCCACGUCAGUCGCCUCCUCACAGAGGUCCUGCUCCGACGGGAUGUCCUCUUUCUCCACAGAGAGCUGCACAGGAACUGGAUAUUAUCACACAAGAGGAAAGACAGUUAGACCGAUCAAAAACAAAUUCUGAUUUCUAUAUGUUCAAUAGAGAACUAGAAAAGUAUUGAAACAUGUUCCAGUGUGAAUGUCCCUCAGGAUUUUGCAUUGUUAUCAGUUCACCCAAUGAGGUUAGGAUUUUAGCUAAGCGGAGAUCAUGCAAAACCAUGAACCAUGGGCCAAGAAAGAACCCAGUAAUAUUUGGGUAAAUAAUGAAUAGUACCAGAGAGAAAGAAGCUCUGAAAAUGUCCACAUAAGAUAAAACAAGAUAAGAUAAUCCUUUAUUAGUCCCACAAGGGCAGUCAUAAUUGUAAUGUUUAAAGUAAUAGUAUGUGUAAGGAAAUACAGAACAAUAUAAAUGGAAUAAUAACGAAUAUACAGUGUAAACAGAAUAUGUACAGUGUUAGACCUGAGUUAAAGUGCAGUCCAUGAGAGUUGUGUGGUACUGACGAUGUGAUUAUACUAUUAUUUUCACUUCUUGUUAUAUUCAAGUCAGUCCCCAAACUUUUAACUGAAAUUGAUAAACAAUGUAUUUGUCUCUGUUAA